rnacentral:rRNA from 3 species
CACCUGACCCCAUGCCGAACUCAGAAGUGAAACGCCGUAGCGCCGAUGGUAGUGUGGGGUCUCCCCAUGCGAGAGUAGGACACUGCCAGGCA